rnacentral:lncRNA from 1 species
CUCCAGUCCUCAAGGGUUUGAUUGGUGUCGCACAUUUUCUCCAUCCCUAGCAAACAUAGCUGAUUAAUCAAAUGUCAUUCUAAACUGAAGAUCAUGAUUAGGUGAUUAUUGGAGUCAGGUGUGUUAGCUGGAGCUGGGGCAAAGCUGUGAUACCAAUCAGGCCCUGGAGUAUUGGGUGCCCUGGGUAUUGGCCACUUUCUCUCUCUUUGAUGGUUAUACAUAUCUGGGUGGAUGCUAUAUUCCUGGCAAUGGAGGGAAAGUACCAGAGAAGCGGCUCCGAUGGAGUGACUGACCAUUCAGAGAAGCAGGUGCGCUGUUGAAGAGCUCCUGGUUUCGUCAGUGGGUCGUGGCAGAUGGGUCGCUAUGGUCCUCCUCUCUAUGGCCUCACAGGUCUACAUAAUGCACUGCAAUACUGUCUCGAAUCCAAGACGAAUUUUGCAAAACCAGAUGGAAGUCCCUCCGUGACACUUUUUUUAAGGCACCUACAGAAGGCCCAACCCAGCGGUUCUGGGGGAACCAAUCAGAAAGAAUGGAAAUACAUAUAUUAUAUCAUUCUUGAUACCUUACAUCCAGCCAACAAGCUCAAGAGGCAACCUCAGCCUUGAAAAUGCUGAUUCGCCUCAGCCACAACCUGUGGAGAUGGAUGACACUGAGGACAACGUGGGUUCCCCGAGCCAUGACCCUGUGCUUCAGAUGCCUGAACAUCAGUCAAGACCAACCACUACAGACACGGCUCAAGACUGGCAUCCAAGAAAAAGAAAACAGAAGGUCAACCAUCAAGAUGUGGAUGAAGAGCUGCUUGCAUUUGUCAGGAAGCCAAUCCCUUCUGCUGCUACCUCAGAUGAUGUGGAUGAGGUAUUUGUGCACAGCCUUGUGUCAGGAAGAAACAAGGGCACUCUGAAAAUGCAACUACUAUCAUUGAUUGUAAACUAGGAUGACCAGCAUGCAACACCUCUGCCACCACUUCCACCACCACAAUGGCUCUUUGAUGCUCUGCAUGGAAGAGUUGGACUGCAGCCUAUGAUGUACGGCCAGCCCAGGCAUCAAUACUCCUACUCACCAGGAUCUAUCUAACACAUAACUAGGAUGACCAGCAGGCAACACCACUGCCACCACCACGGCCUGCAAGUACUCCGCACGGAAAAGGUGGACUGCAGCCAAUCAUGUACGAUGAGCCCAGUGAUCAAUACUCACCAGAACUUAGGUCUCCAACACAUAGCUGGGAUGACAGCUUCAGUACAUUUUCUUAAGAGAGCUGGGUCCAAGAAUCCCAGUCACAUUGAUAAUCCCCUCCUAAAAAGACACAUCCCAUGUUCUGUUUUAGAGUUUUAAAAAGGGAAAGGUUUAUGUAUGCACUAUUUGCACUUCUUUGUUGUUGCAGUUAUAUUUGCAUUGCACCUUGUAUUUAACAUUUUUUUAAUCAUUUUUUGCUAUUCAGUGAAUAUUGUAAUUGGGAAGGAUAUGCCAUUUUUUGUUUACAUGCCUUGCUGUGGCUGUUCAUCUCACCUACAACAGGUGCACCAUGCCUUGUUGUGACUGUUAAUGUCACCUUGAAUAGUUAUAAGUAAAAUGCUAAACAAAGAACAGUGUGUCUUACUUACCUCGAGUAUAAUGAAAAGACACUAUAGCACCUGGUGAUCUUGCUGCUCCCUAAAUGUAAUGGAACAUAGGCCUACAUCUGUGGAGCAUCAUGAUCACCAGUGUGCUGGAGUUUUUUUACACUAUAGUAUACUGCUCUUCUCCAUGCACCUUCUUACACAAUACACCCUUUUCCAAUAACUUACCUUAGAGUGACAGCUAGUUUUUGCUUUGGCUCUAUUGGGGUCCUGUAGUUGGUCGUCGGCUUGGUGAGGUCUGGGCCAACAAAAGACUCCAUCUCUUCUGCACUCAUCCGGAUGUAUCAGUGAUGUCAGGCAUGGUCCAAGAGCAGCU